rnacentral:rRNA from 1 species
UUCUGAACCCUUCGGGGGGACGACGGUGGAAUGAGCGGCGGACGGGUGAGUAACACGUAAAGAACCUGCCCAUAGGUCUGGGAUAACCACGAGAAAUCGGGGCUAAUACCGGAUGUGUCAUCGGACCGCAUGGUCCGCUGAUGAAAGGCGCUCCGGCGUCGCCCAUGGAUGGCUUUGCGGUGCAUUAGCUAGUUGGUGGGGUAACGGCCCACCAAGGCGACGAUGCAUAGCCGACCUGAGAGGGUGAUCGGCCACACUGGGACUGAGACACGGCCCAGACUCCUACGGGAGGCAGCAGUAGGGAAUCUUCCACAAUGGACGAAAGUCUGAUGGAGCAACGCCGCGUGAACGAUGAAGGCUUUCGGGUCGUAAAGUUCUGUUGUAAGGGAAGAACAAGUGCCGCAGGCAAUGGCGGCACCUUGACGGUACCGU